rfam:Felis catus isolate Cinnamon breed Abyssinian chromosome A3, whole genome shotgun sequence.
CUGUCUCUUGCUUCAACAGUGUCUGGAUGGAACGG